rnacentral:rRNA from 1 species
AUACGUAGGUGGCAAGCGUUGUCCGGAAUUACUGGGUGUAAAGGGAGCGCAGGCGGGACAGCAAGUUGGAUGUGAAAUACCGCAGCUCAACUGCGGGGCUGCAUCCAAAACUGUUGUUCUUGAGUGGAGUAGAGGUAGGCGGAAUUCCGAGUGUAGCGGGGAAAUGCGUAGAUAUUCGGAGGAACACCAGUGGCGAAGGCGGCCUACUGGGCUCUUACUGACGCUGAGGCUCGAAAGUGUGGGGAGCAAACAGGAUUAGAUACCCUGGUAGUCCACACUGUAAACGAUGAUUGCUAGGUGUGGGGGGUCUGACCCCUUCCGUGCCGGAGUUAACGCAAUAAGCAAUCCACCUGGGGAGUACGGCCGCAAGGUUGAAACUCAAAUGAAUUGACGGGG